ACGCUCGACACCUACGGGAGGCAGCAGUGGGGAAUAUUGCACAAUGGGGGAAACCCUGAUGCAGCGACGCCGCGUGAGCGAAGAAGUAUUUCGGUAUGUAAAGCUCUAUCAGCAGGGAAGAAACUGACGGUACCUGACUAAGAAGCACCGGCUAAAUACGUGCCGGUAGCCGCGGUAAUCUGAGCGGGCUGGCAAGGC
rnacentral:rRNA from 1 species